rnacentral:misc_RNA from 1 species
GGAAGGAUCAUUAACAAAUUCAACACACAUGUUUCCCUCUCGGGUGAGGUGCGAACCUUCCUGGAGGUGUAUACAUUCCACACACACCUUUGAUUGACAAUACACAAUUGAUACCAAAUAAGGUUAAUCGUGGACAACUUUUAACAAUGGAUCUCUUGGCUCUUGCAACGAUGAAGAACGCAGCGAACUGCGAAACGUAAUGUGACCUGCACUCUUCGUGAAUCAUCCAAUCUUUGAACGCACUUUGCACCUCGUGGCUUAUGUCACUUGGUAUACUUGUUUGAGUAUCCAAAACACGCUCACCUCCCCUUCGGGGCGAAGUAGAUUUGAGGGUUCGAAAAUUCUCUUUUGAAUGAUCGUCUCUUUAAAUGCGGGCCAACAACGGAAUGUCUCAGCUGGCAAUUUUUGCAGUGCUGUGAGGCAACUAUUGGGAUAACAUCCUGACGAUAGUGCCGCCUUCACAAGCAUGGCUUUGAUGGUCUAGGUCAUCUCAUCGGCGUCUUCCGCAUUCUUGUUUGGAGACAAUGAUAAAAUACUUUGUUAAAUGGAUCUCAAAUCAAGUAGGGAUACCCGCUGAACUUAAGCAUAUCAGUAAGCGGAGGAAAAGAAACUAACAAGGAUUCCUUUAGUAACGGCGAGUGAACCGGGAAAAGCUCAAAUUUAAAAUCUGGUACCACUUCGGUGCCCGAAUUGUAUUUGAUAGGGUCUUCUUUCAGGGAAGGCCAUGGCCAAAGUUCUCUGGAAAGGGACAACAAAGAGGGUGACAUUCCCGUCUGGGUCAUGGAUCUGAACUGGUACAAAGGAGGUCUCAAGAGUCGGAUUGUUUGGGAAUGCAGUCCAAAAUGGGUGGUACAUUUCAUCUAAAGCUAAAUAUUGGCAAGAGACCGAUAGCGAACAAGUACCGUGAGGGAAAGAUGAAAAGAACUUUGAAAAGAGAGUUAAAUAGUACGUGAAAUUGUUAAAAGGGAAACGAUUGAGACCAGUGAUGCUGAAUAUCCUUAAACGUGCCUUUCGAGGAACGUGUAUGGGCCUUCAGCAAGUCGAUGCCCCUUUUAGGUCUUGGAUACGACAGUGGGAAAGGUGGCGCUGCUUUCUAGUAGUUGCUUUAUAGUCCCAUUGGGAUACAAGACACUGGGAGGGGGAUACCAGGCCGCAAGGUCACGUCGACAAAAUGGUCUUAAACGACCCGUCUUGAAACACGGACCAAGGAGUCUAACAACUAUGCGAGUAUUUGGGUGGCACAAACCCGAAUGCGUAAAGAAAAUGAACGCGUGGGAUCUCCUCCGCCAUUUGGCAGGGGAGUGCACCAUGGGCCGGUCCUCGUCUCGACCUGGAUUGCGCUAGAGCAUAUCUGUUGGGACCCGAAAGAUGGUGAACUAUGCCUGAAUAGGGUGAAGCCAGAGGAAACUCUGGUGGAGGCUCGUAGACAUUCUGACGUGCAAAUCGAUGUUCAAAUUUGGGUAUAGGGGCGAAAGACUAAUCGAACCAUCUAGUAGCUGGUUCCCUC